GCCAGUGGCGUUGGUGAGUAAUUGCGUGGAAAUUCCCGGUUGGUCCGUAUCGUCAGGCAGCUCUGGCUUGCUAAGAUUAGACAUAUCGGUGUACAGGAAUAGCUGCAGCAAUUACACGAGCAAGGAUGAGAGUGAAGGGCUGUCAGUCACCUUGGCUUCGGGGCAUAUGCAGAUUGUUAAAUCAGGUCAGGAGGAGCUGACAGCAUGGCUGAGCCUGGGGCGGGAGCUGGGACCGUCGGGCUGUGCAGUGGGGCUGUGACCUCUCCCACCUCUGCUCCCCUGCUCCGAGUGCACACAGCAGAGCUCACGCUCUCAGGCAGUGAUGCUGCUGCACCCUGCAUUCCCAGAGCCUCGCUGCAGCAAGGCAUCCUCCAGGCAGGAAGGCAGUCUGUUCGCUGGAGGGAUGUCUGGCAGCAUGAUGAGCUGCAUAGGGGCAAACUCUAUUAAAACCCAUGGUGAGAGCUUCAGUGCUGGCCCUGAGUGCAGAGCAGCCGUGUGUUGUGCUGCUGAGCGUGUUCGCUGGUAGGACCCUGUGCUGCUUCUGCGCUGUUUGGGAGAAGUGAAACAUCCUUCUGUUAUCGUCUUUUUUGUACUGGAAAAAAGAUGCUAUUGGUGUUUUUGAAAUUGUGGAAUAGUGCUCUGUCAUGCAGGAUUGUCAUUGGGAGGGCGUUUUUUGGAAGAUGCAGAAGGGAUUGGGUUGAGAACAUCUUUUCUCCUCCAUAAUUUGGUGUAUUUCUGUUCUUGUUCUUUCCUUGCUGUGUUCCAAUCCGUUCCUGCAGUGCUGCUCCCAGCAGUGCUGACCCCACAAGGAGCAUGAGGCAGCAUCCUCCUUUGCCUUCUGGUCCCAUUUAUGCUUCCCAUCACAGAGGCACACCUGGGUGCCCAGGAUGGCAGAGCGUCCCCAAACCCUGACAGAGCUGCUGGGAUGGGGAGUGCCUGUGCGUGUGUCGGGGGUUAGCUAUGGGCUCCUUUCUCCUUAUGCCACUGGAGGCUUUUGACAACCCAGCAUGAGGCUCAUGGGUCCCAGCUGAAAGUUCUGAUUCAGAGCUGUUCCAUCUGCUCACCUGAAGGCAGGGCUGGCUACCAGCUUCCCAACACCACUGGCAGCAAGAGCCUGCUGAAAACCCAGCCAGAGCCAUUUCCUAGGCUGCUGCAUCCCACCAAGCCUUCUGGGAGACCAAAGGUGCAUCCCAGGGAGCUCGUCGUGGAUGCAGCGACAAAAUCAGCACACAUUUGUCAAAGGAUUUUAGAGAUGUGUUUGUGACCUCUGCUGACCAUGGCCCGAGAUUUCCGUGCUGCUCACUGCAGCACAGCUGUGUGCUAAUGCAGAAUGUGCUUUUGACCACCAUGCUCAACAAAGGCCAAAGCAGCUCUUGUGUUCAGUGAUUGCUGAGGGUGGUGAUGGCCAUUCCAGCUCCAGGCCCACAUCAGGAGUGGUGAAUCCUGGCUUUUGUGUCCAGGAGGCCGUGUUCCCUGUUCUGCAUUGCAUGCAGGAAUGCUGCUUGGAUUGGGAAGGCUUAACCUUAAACAAUUACAUCACCUGAGAACUAAAGGAGCUAGAGAACAUCCCGGGAAGAGCGGCACACAGAGAGCUGCCAGAGCUGACAUUCCCAAGAGAGGAGUUGUGGCCAUGAGCCCAGCACUGAGCCAGCACCUGCCCAGGUUUUACCGCCUGUGUUGACUGUGCCAGCCUCACGCUGCAUCCCAUGAGAGCAGCACUGACACCUUCACGCUGCUCUUCCCAACGGGCUGUCAGGGCAUCAUGAUGUGCAGGACACAUCCUGAUCCAAUCCCAUCUGAUCCUGUUUGGGGAUGCAGCUCCUACCCACCCUGCCCGCAGCCCCAAAGCCUAGUGCCACUAUGUCCCUUGGCGCAGGGAGCUGCUGAGAGGGUUGUGACAUUGGGUGUGUGCCAGGGCAUCCAGAGCCCCUUCCGCGUUUCUGAUAGAGGGCCCUUGUGUGUGUUGUGGAGCAGAGCACGGGGCAGCGGCUGCAGAACAGGCAUUGUGUGCCAGGCACUGCGGGUGAGUGCUGGGGUGGCUGCAGAAGCCCCGUUGGGGCCGGGGAAGGCUGCUGCUUCUUGGAGGCGUGUUUGCUCUUCAGUCUCAGGCGUGAACUGGUUUCUUCGAACCAAGAGAGAAAUUUUGGUUGUAAUAACGAUCAUAAAGCCCCUAGCGAGUGCAGACCGAAAUACCUGGAUUUAAUUAAAGUGGCUCUGAUUUGCUGCAGGAGCUGCUCGCGCUCGCUGCCCGUGCUGCCUCCUCCGCUGAGAGCAAUGCUCAGCUGUCAGGAGCCGCUUUGCUGGGAGCAGCUCAUGUUUGCAGGCACUCGAGGUGUCAGCACUGACACUGCCCUUGUCCCUGUGCGCGUUCAGCCAGUGCGGAGAUGUGGCCGUGCCCGCCAGCCCUCCUGUGCCCCAGGAGAUCCUGCAGCCUUCCUGUGGGCUCUCCUUGGGGCUCUGUCUCCAUUCCAGAUUCAAGGCUGCCGCCCGCCUUGUGUGUGAAGCCUCAGAGGUGUAAACACACCACCAACCUCUGAAACCUCCUUAUGUAACUGCAGCAUCUCGUGUUUGUUUUGUCUUGCAGUAUUUGUUAAGUCAAGAGUGUCUGCAGCUAAUUUGUUAUCACCCUGCUCUUAAGGUGGAUGUUUUACACUGAGACCUCUCUGUGCCAGCACAGGGAUGAAAGUGAAUGUUUCAUCGCUGAAUCAUUACCUUGUAACUCCUUGGCAUCUUUAAGGAUCUAGAAACCGGUAUUUACACCUCAGAAGCAUUUAAGGCCAUCACAAUAAUCUAGAUGUGUUCCUAAGCAGGGUGUUCAUUUCACUGCCUCCUUAACUCAGACGUUAUCAUUACAAUAGUAAUAACAGCAGGAUGCCUGUGUGCUGGGUUUGACUUCUUUGCAGUGCCCGAGGGCCAGAGAGACACUCAGCUGGGACACUGCAAGGAACAGCCGCACUGCCAAGUGCCAGGCUGGGAGGAGGAAGCCCAGGGGAAGGGAGGGGUGAGGGAUGGUGCAGAUGCUGCAAGGGGAUAGGGGAGGCAAUGCCCAGCCCCGCAUCUCCAAAGCCAUGGUGUUCUCAACACUGCAAGAAAUUGCCCCAGAUUGCCUUUGCUGAACUGGAGGAUGCAUCUCCCAGCCUUAGGAAGGGCACUGAAGGCAUGGGUGGCUGCUGAGGGGCAGCAGAGCCAUAGCCCUGGCUUUAGAGUCAGGGAGUUAACUCCUCCACAUGCAGUGUAAUAAAGCAAAGAAGAUUCCAUUGCUGGGCAGGGUAUCCUAGCGGCAGGGGCUGAGCCACUGGAACUUUAAAAAUAUAUUUCCCCUGGGAUACAGUGGAUACAGAGGCUAUGAUAUGGGCAGGUGGAGAGCUUUGAGCCUCUCCAAGUGCUGGGAAAGGAAUGGAAUCCUUCCAAGGAGUGUGUGUUCCCAUGAGCUGGCACACCUUGGCAGCCCUGGGUCCCGGCCCACUGCAACUCCAACGCACCAGGGGUCCCGUGCCAUGUCCCAGGCCACACAAGGGAACCCAUGCCCUGAGGGGAGCAGCAGCAGGGCUCACUGGGCCACACUGGGACCGACUGGGAGCCUCCUGCACACCCGCUGCAGCCCUCCCGCAUCUGCCACGCCUGCCAUUAAUCACAGCCGAGGAAGCAGGCGUAGGAAGACUGACGUUUUUUAACAAAAUAACUGAGCCUGUGUUCCCUGAGCAGGAGAGCAAGGUGCUUUCAGCUGUGAGCCAACACUAAGACACCCAUGGCAUGAGGGAUGCUCCUGCCCGUGAGGCGGCAGGGAAGGCUGCGGCCUAGUGCAGCCACCCUGCGCCCAGCACUGUGGACCCUUUCCUUCCUGCUGGCUCCCUGCAGCCUGGCACUCUGGCUUCUGGCCUACUGGGACCUGCCCUGCUCACUGCCUCCUGCCCUGCUCCCUGGGCACCUGGCUCAGGGCUUCAGGGACCCUCCAGGCCUGCCAGUGUGGGUUUGGUAGAAAGGGGCUGUCACAUCGUGCCGUGUGGGCUGUGGAUGUCCUCUGAGCAGCAUCCCUUCCUCCCAGCUUCUCCGAGGGGCCUGGUGCGGCCCCGUCCCUGUGCCAGCCUGCUGGCUCUGCCCCUCUGCAUGGACAAGUGCUCUGGUCUGUGGGAACAGGAACAGGAUUUCUGUCAAUAAACUGAAUACAGCUUGA